rnacentral:lncRNA from 1 species
UACAAUCUGUUCCUUCCAAUUAUAAAAUUCACGACUCAAAGGAGUUGGAGAGAGAUGCAAUAAUGAGAAAAGAGAAGAAGCAGGUGGGACUGUGUCAGAAACUUUGAAGUGAGGAAAGCAUAAAAGUGAGUAACACAAGUGGGUGGUGAGGGUUUCUCUCUAAAAUUUUCUUACAGUGAUCAUCUCUGAUUUGACUACUCAUAGUACUCGUUUUCACUUUUACCCCUUAAUUCUCUAUUUUUCACCUUUUUAACCUCCAAAAUCUUUAUUAACACUAACUCCCCUCAC